AUUGAACGCUGGCGGCAGGCCUAACACAUGCAAGUCGAACGGUAGCACAGAGAGCUUGCUCUCGGGUGACGAGUGGCGGACGGGUGAGUAAUGUCUGGGAAACUGCCCGAUGGAGGGGGAUAACUACUGGAAACGGUAGCUAAUACCGCAUAACGUCUUCGGACCAAAGUGGGGGACCUUCGGGCCUCACACCAUCGGAUGUGCCCAGAUGGGAUUAGCUAGUAGGUGGGGUAAUGGCUCACCUAGGCGACGAUCCCUAGCUGGUCUGAGAGGAUGACCAGCCACACUGGAACUGAGACACGGUCCAGACUCCUACGGGAGGCAGCAGUGGGGAAUAUUGCACAAUGGGCGCAAGCCUGAUGCAGCCAUGCCGCGUGUAUGAAGAAGGCCUUCGGGUUGUAAAGUACUUUCAGCGGGGAGGAAGGCAAUGAGGUUAAUAACCGCAUCGAUUGACGUUACCCGCAGAAGAAGCACCGGCUAACUCCGUG
rnacentral:rRNA from 1 species